rnacentral:rRNA from 1 species
AUACAGAGGUUGCGAGCGUUAAUCGGAAUUACUGGGCGUAAAGCGCGCGUAGGCGGCUACUUAAGUCAGAUGUGAAAUCCCCGGGCUCAACCUGGGAACUGCAUCUGAUACUGGGUAGCUAGAGGUUAGGAGAGGGAAGUAGAAUUUCAGGUGUAGCGGUGAAAUGCAUAGAGAUCUGAAGGCAUACCAGUGGCGAAGGCGGCUUCCUGGCCUAAAACUGACGCUGAGGUGCGAAAGCGUGGGUAGCACACGGGAUUAGAAACCCGGGUAGUCC